UGGGGAAUUUUGGACAAUGGGCGCAAGCCUGAUCCAGCAAUGCCGCGUGCAGGAUGAAGGCCUUCGGGUUGUAAACUGCUUUUGUACGGAACGAAAAGGCUCUGGCUAAUACCUGGGGCACAUGACGGUACCGUAAGAAUAAGCACCGGCUAACUACGUGCCAGCAGCCGCGGUAAUACGUAGGGUGCGAGCGUUAAUCGGAAUUACUGGGCGUAAAGCGUGCGCAGGCGGUUUUGUAAGACAGAGGUGAAAUCCCCGGGCUCAACCUGGGAACUGCCUUUGUGACUGCAAGGCUGGAGUGCGGCAGAGGGGGAUGGAAUUCCGCGUGUAGCAGUGAAAUGCGUAGAUAUGGCGGAGGAACACCGAUGGCGAAGGCAAUCCCCUGGGCCUGCACUGACGCUCAUGCACGAAAGCGUGGGGAGCAAACAGGAUUAGAUACCCUGGUAGUCCACGCCCUAAACGAUGUCAACUGGCUUGUUGGGUCUUAAUUGACUCAGUAACGAAGCUAACGCGUGAAGUUGGACCNCCUGGGGAGUACGGCCGCAAGGUUAAAACUCAAAUGAAUUGACGGGGUCAUAGGCUGUUU
rnacentral:rRNA from 1 species